rnacentral:rRNA from 1 species
GUCCCCGUCCAUGUGAGGUGUCUUCGACGAGUCGAGUUGUUUGGGAAUGCAGCUCAAAAUGGGUGGUAAAUUUCAUCUAAAGCUAAAUAUUGGUGGGAGACCGAUAGCGCACAAGUAGAGUGAUCGAAAGAUGAAAAGCACUUUGAAAAUAGAGUUAAAAAGUACGUGAAAUUGUUGAAAGGGAAGCGCUUGGGACCAGACUUCGGUAAGGGGUGAUCAGCCGUCCUUUUGGGCGGUGCACUUGCCCCCCUCCGGGCCAGCAUCGGUUGAGGCGGCGGGAUAAAGGUCCCGGGAAUGUGGCUCCUUCACGGGAGUGUUAUAGCCCGGGUGAAUGCCGCCAGCUUCGACCGAGGACCGCACCCGCAAGGGUUAGGAUGCUUGGCAUAAUGGUCUUCAGCGAC